rnacentral:lncRNA from 1 species
CUAGAAAAAAGUAUUUUUCGAAAAAUGUAUAAUGAUACCCAUUGAGUUCAUUUACAUGACAAGAUACAUACAAGAUUUUCUUUAUUUAACAUGACUUUUCCAGGUUUUUCUUAGAAAUUCUCUAGUGCAAAAAGUUCAGAUUCAGCACUAAUUCAGCUGAAUCAAAAAAGAAGAUGGAGGUUUUUGGCCUGCUGCUCUUUUCACAAGUCAGCUGAAAAGUCCAGAACUGAGUUUUUAUCUAAGAUCUAAGAUCAAGUUUGUCAAUGUGAAGCACCUUGAAGCAAAACACUACUUAUAUCUAUCACACUCACAUUUCCUUUUCCUGUUUAUGCAUCAGUUGACGGGCGAUAGCAGUGGACAGCGUGUUUGAUGUCAGAUGGUGACCCAAAUAAGCUACAAAAAGCUUUGUGUGUGGCUCUCGAAACACCCAUGUCUGAUGGGGAUGUGAACUAUACUCUCAAAGAGACACAGUCAGAGAUGACAGAUAACACAAUGACAUCAUCAGCUGAGGAGCAUCCUCCAUUCUGACGACUCUACGACCCUUUGAUCCAGUUUCACAGCACAUUGCCUUCGUUCCAGAACCACUAGAACUCACUGUGUACUCGAGUCCAUGUACGAGAUAUCACCCAAACUUCACUCAAAGCCAGGCCCAGUCCAGUAGUGAAGCGCUUUACACAGCUGAGAUGUGAAAGCGACAUAUUAACAUUAACUCGCUUAAAACAGGUUUUAAAAGUAUAGUUAACAUCAAAAUGACAAUGUCAGCAUUUACUCACCCUCAUGUUAUUCCAAACCUGUAUGACUUACUUUCCUCUGUGGAAAACACAAAAUAAUAUGUAUAUUGAAAAAUGUGUAUUUGUGCCUAUACAGUGAAAGUCAAUAGAUUCCAGUGUUUCAAAUUUUAUCAACAUGCAAUUGUAACAAAAACUUUUUUUAAAACGUAGGGGUGAAUUAAAAUAUACUUUUAAUACAAAUCUACAAUAUAUAAUAAUAAUAAUAAUAAUAAUAAUAAUAAUAAUAAUAAUAAUAAAAAAAACACUUGUGGCAUUUUGUUAGGUUUCAAAUAAAUAAUAAAGGAGCAGAUCUAUUAUAAUUAAAAAAAAUAAAUAAAUAAGAAAGAAGUUAUUUUCAUUGCGCUCCACUUUCUUCUCCAACUCUUCCUAAAGCUUUCAGGCUACAUGAACUAACUGCCCCCACAACCACCCAGAAAAACUCACCAACCAUCUAAAAACCAACUGCCUACCAAUGCCCUAGCAAUUUUCCAGCUUUCUCAGUUCAAACAUCUUAAGUAUUCAAACCAUGGCCUAAAUAACCUUUAUGAUUUAAAGCUUGGUAACACAAUUACCAACUUUCCUUUUCUAGUCAUUUCCGCAGUUAUAUUUGGUUUUGCUAGUGGCACAGAAAUUACACACUUCCACCUCCUUUAAUCUCAAGUAGAUUUAUUCAGAGACAUGUUUUUAUAUUUAUGUGCUGCCACCUAGUGGUUGUAUUUUCACUGAAUAAUUAUUAUACAAUAAUAAUGUGUAAUCGAUUGUAUUUUUACUUACUAUAUUUUAUUUGACUUAAAACAGAUUUAAGUAAACAGUCUCGUGUGUACAAGCAAUCAUUGUAAUUCAUGUUCCUAUAAAGCAGAGUUAGUCAUUUGUUUUUUAAAUCGGGGCGGAUGUAUCAGAAUGCUGCAGGACUAUAAUGUCCACAGAGAUCAGAGAUUGGCCAGAGCACAAGGUAGCCACACAGCAGAUGCUCUAGAGCAGACAGUGUGACAGAUUUAGCUUCAGGAAAUAUCACAAGCAGGAGGUUGUCCAACUUGUGCCACAGACUCACAUUUUGUCAGAAAAAUACAAUUACUUUAUAGUUUGUACAUAUAAACACGUUUGUCAUUUUAUGCAUGGAUCAAAUAAGACACUUGCAAAAUACACCACUCCCCUAUGUUAAAGUGAAAUAGUACAUAUGACUUGUGCACCAUAUUCUUAUGAAGUAAUAUGCUUUUUUUUGGGUAAGAAACAGGGUACUCCUUUUUAAAGCUGGAAAGCUACAGUCCCCAUUUAUAGUAACUGCAUGAAAAAGAGCAACAAAAAUAUUUUCUUUUUAUGCGAUACAGCAGGAUUAUUUUAAUAUCACUGAGUAAAAUUCAGUGUGCUCUCAGAUCUCUGUGGUGAUCUCACCCAGGCCUUUCUUAGUCAGAGCCAAAAGAAGAAACACACAGAGAAAAAGACGGUAAAUGACGACACAUUUUGACAUCAAGAGAAUAUACUUGAUUGCUGUUUAGAGAGAAGCAGCUCAUUUUGAACUGAAACACCUCUUUCUUGUGUUUGUGAUGUUAAAGUCAGUCAGAAUGUCAAAACUCUUUUUAAAGGGACAUAAAUGAAGUUCUUUCUCCCUCUAGGGGGCACAUCAACAAUGACUUAAGGUCAGAACAAAACACCUUUGAACAUCAAUCACAGUAUUUCUAAAGCUCACAUGUAGACCUGAGGGAGGUGUCUCUACAACAGAAAGAAAGAGAGGAGAGCGUUUUUGUGCUGGCUUUGAGCAAUCACAAGUGUCCUUUUCGAAAUGUAUAUAGUUUCAUAUCUCAACCACUAGGUGGAGACAGAAGUCUGCUUCAUUUACUCCGCUUCAUGUGCAUCAUAACAACAUGAGAUCUUAACAUAUGCAUAAAAAGAGGGCUAAAAACUUGAUAAGAAGAAUUAUUACCAGAGCAUAGCAAAAAAUAAAAAAUAAAAUAAAAAGGGGCCAGUGUAUGGAAGAUUAAUGCUUGCAUGUUUAUACAUAAUUUUAUAAUAAUAAUAAUUGCAUUAUUAUUAAUUAUAACAAAAAUGCUGUGAUUUUUUUCAUAAAUAAAUAAUAAAUAAAUAAUUUCAGUCCAUUUAGGCCAGUUACUUCUACAUUUAUGACUAUAAUAUGGCUCUUUUUACUUUUAUCAGAAUCCAUUAAAAUGGCCAAAUUAUCAAUAGCUACUUUUCC